rnacentral:rRNA from 1 species
UACGGAGGGUGCAAGCGUUAAUCGGAAUUACUGGGCGUAAAGCGCACGCAGGUGGCUGAGUCAGUCGAUUGUGAAAGCCCUGGGCUUAACCUGGGAAUUGCAGUCGAUACUACUCAGCUAGAGUAUGGGAGAGGGCAGUGGAAUUCCCGGUGUAGCGGUGAAAUGCGUAGAUAUCGGAAGGAACAUCAGUGGCGAAAGCGGCUUCCUGGACCAGCACCGACGUCAGGCACGAAAGCGUGGGGAGCAAACAGG